rnacentral:lncRNA from 1 species
CUGGAACAAGAAGUCAGAAGUGGAUUGGACCUGAAAGGCAAGAGAGUAGGAGCCAGCGUCUGUCAUUAGGAUCCUGACCAUCCCAGUUGCCGGGCACGCUCACCCUUCUCCUUCCACCAGGGGGCAGGGCUCGUUUACAUAUGGAUUUCGCCGCGCAGAUGCCAGGGGCGGAACCUCCUCUCCAGCCUGGGUCCCUGCUGUCCUCAGGUGGAAAUGAUUAAACCUCUGCAAACAAGCAGCUUCAGCAUUUAAUUUUGUGAAGUUACAGAGUGUGAUAAGUACAAAGACACGAUGGCCUUACAUUGAUAUGCUGCUUUACAGCUUCCAAAGGGAUUUCUUGUAUAUGAUCUCAUUUGAACCUUAUAAUGAAGGUGGGAAUUAGGAAGAGAGAGGUUUUCUUUCCCUGUUUUAAAGAUAAGGAAACAGAGGAACCAUUCAAGGAUACACAGUGUGAAACGGGAUGGACAAGGCCCAGAACGCGCCUUGUGUCUCAGUGAGGUGGUCCUUUCAGUUCAUAAUUAUCUUAAGGUCAGGUAGAGAAAUGAAAACCAAACAAUGCAAAAAUCUGUCUUUAAUGUCUUUAAUUUGUCUUCUUACAAAUUCUUUGCAGAAUUUCGAAUUAAUAGCAAAAUAAAAU